rnacentral:lncRNA from 1 species
CAAAGAGGCGGGGGUCUCAGCCUGGUUCUUCCUUGUUCCUCGUCCUCUGAGGUAGCAACUGCCUCAUCUUUUCCAUCUAUGGAGUGUGGAAUAUGUGCCCUACUUCAUUCAGGAAUGUUGGACAAACCAGCUAUUUAGAGAGUGAAGGAGAGGAACUUCCGAGAGCAACCGGCCCCCAAGAGAAACCCAGGGACUCCUGCCCUUCGGCAGCUUUGUCCAUGUGCUGCUCACACCAAAAAGCACUCGAGGGUGACCUGCACCAAAAAUGCAUUGCCGUAGUCUGGGCACAGUGGAUCACGCCUGUAAUCCCAGCUCUUUGGGAGGCCAAGGCAAUCAGCAAGACUCCGUGGGCGUGGGACCCUCCGAGCCAGGUGCGGGAUAUAGUCUCGCGGUGCGCCGUUUUUUAAGCCCGUCGGAAAAGCGCAAUAUUCGGGUGGGAGUGACUCGAUUUUCCAGGUGCCUCCGUCACCCCUUUCUUUGACUCGGAAAGGGAACUCCCUGACCCCUUGCGCUUCCCAAGUGAGGCAAUGCCUCACCCUGCUUCGGCUCGCCCCUGGUGCGCGCACCCACUGACCUGCGCCCACUGUCUGGCACUCCCUAGUGAGAUGAACCCGGUACCUCAGAUGGAAAUGCAGAAAUCACCCGUCUUCUGCGUCGCUCACGCUGGGAGCUGUAGACCGGAGCUGUUCCUAUUCGGCCAUCUUGGCUCCUCCACCAGAAAUGAUGUAGCUUCUAUCAGGAAUCUGGUAGCAAUGCAAAGCUAAGAGAAGUUAGAACACUUGAAAUUAGCUAAGCGAGAAUGCCAUCAGCAGUGCAUCGAUCUCAGCUGCAUCCAGGUGUAUCAGUUGAAUGGCAGAGGGACUAGAAAUUACAUUUCACGAAGAAAAUUUACAGAACUAAAGAUAUUUAGGCUGCAAAAGAAAAGACUAAGAGAACAGUAUACAAGCAUGGUGAAGAGUGAAAUCUCUACUGCUAAACUACAGAGGUAUCCGAUACAGGUUCUUAAGUGCUGAGGGACUUUGCAUAAAUUACUGAUGCUGUGGUUUUGGUUUUCUCCAGUGUAAAUAGUGUGGCACUGUGCUAAGUUGGACUUACAGAGAUGAAUAAGAUUUGGCCACAUCUUCAAGGAGCUCAGACCUUCAUGGACGUACCAAAUAUAUACAGAACUAACUCUACUGCUUAUCAUAAUGAGAGCUGUGCUAUGGAUAUUUGAAAGUUAGAGAGAUUUAUUUUCAACAGAAUAAUAAAGUCAACUUUCACAAACUGGUGACAGAUGAUCUGGGCCUUGCAGACAGGGGAGGACUGACAGAUUGAGAAGAGUAUUUGGUUAAAAACGGAUCAUAAACUGGUAUAAAUAUCUAAACAAACUCAUGAGAAUGAGCAGAGUCAGACACAAUAAAAUAAUUCAAAGAUAUAUCAGAUAAACCUGGACCCAAAAGUCAUGACUUUUUCUUUUCAGUUAACUCUGAACAAUUUACAAUAACUUCCUCAAUUAUUGUUUGUCUCAUUUUAACAUUUUGUAAUAACACCUAUGUCUCCAUAUUGGUAUGAAGAUUAAAUGAAAAUACAUCUAUGUUAGAUAGUCCCUAAGUUUCUGUCCCUGAUAUAAGUCCACCCUCCCCACCAUCAUGUGAUCACACGCAGGUGCACAUGCACAGAUGUAUACAUGCAUGCCGUUAUGGGGACAGUAAUUGCAAAUAUCAAUACUGUUAUGGUUGUUACUUCAGCCAUUGCACAAGUGUAGACCUCUGGAUCAACACACAUACGUAUGUGUAUGUGUAACAAAUAUAUGGCUAAUAAUGCAUAGGUUUCAUAGCUAUACCUUGAAAUCAAUUUAUUAAAGGGAUGUGUCCUUCCCAUGCUGACUCACCUACUGCGGCCCAAAAGCAACAACGUAAACUGCCCUGGAUAAAACAUCUGCAGACAAGAGAUCUCUAAGCUAAGCUACAGCUUCAUCAAGCAUGGAGUUAUCUCAUUUCAUAGCUUCACACACACAAAGGCGCGCGCACACACACACACACACACACACAGCUCUCAGCUGGAGACCGUCAGGGAAAACAAGUACCAGUGAGACCUGGGGAUCUUCAUUUGAUUUUGUCUACUGGGUGAGGCUGUGUUGAAAACACUUUGACAGAGGGCUCUUCUCUUGGGGCUCAUCAAAUAUUGCUGGUAGAGGGUUUGCUUGCUUUAAAUAUUCCUUUCCUCAGGUAACGAAGAAUACCAUGUAAUUUGUAAUGAUAACUUGGAUAAUGAAUGCACACUGUAGUCAGCCAUUACCAGUGGUAAUUGGUCUUCCUUUCAUCUCCUGUCAAGCAGAGUGGUUAGGAUUAGGACCAAAAGGCAGCUAUCAUCUCUCUCAUUUCCUGACUCAGACAAAAGGCAAAAAAAAAAAGGUGCCUGCUUGUGCUGAUAGGUGUCUGAUCAAAGCGGCUGAAAGCUGUCAGAAGCCAGCCAGCCUCAGCACCUGACUACUCCUUAAUGCAGCUUUGCCUUUGAUGUACAGGCAGUCCAACCGGGGUUCUAUUUAUGUAAAAAAAAAUAAUCAGGAUUGUAAUAGAACAGGAGAAAGUGUCAUUUUCUAUUUUGAUUCCAGUUUUGCAGUCUGACACCUAUAGGAAAUGUGGACUAAUUCUGUCCAGAGUAUGGUGUGUGUGUGUGUGUGUGUGUGUGUGUGUGUGUGUGUGUGUGUAACUCAAUAAAAUAAAAUAUCUUUGAAACUUCAUCAAAUACAUUUGGCAGUGAGCAGAAGUUAGAUUGCUGGUAGAAAGAAAUUAUCCUUCUUGGAAAGUAAAAAAAAAAUGCUUAAGUAAAAUUGCAGCAGUUUUGACAUGUGUAUUUUAUGUUUCAGAAAUUCUACAGGUUAUAGGUUUAUAAAUGGAGAACUGGUCUUGGAUUUAAAUGAAUUGGCAUCGUAUCUCAGACUUCUAGCUUUCUACCCAUGUGAAUUUAGGUGCGUACUAAUCACAUAUGUGUUUUAAGUUUAUCACUGGCUAUAUACAUGGUUACUUUUGUAUAUGCCUGUGCAUUGAAUGAAAAUACCUGGCAUGUGGUUGUUAUAAGCAAUAGACAGUUUUUGGCCAGAGAGCCAGGCAGACAAGUGUUAAUAUCACUUAAGCCCUCUGUGUCUCAAGUUCAAAAUUUCUAAAAUGAGUGAAUAUAAUAUUUGUUUGAAUUAAAGUAUACAAAGCAUGUAUCUCAGUGUCUAAGACAUUGUAAGACACCAAUAAAUGUCCAGUAUUU